CCCAUCUCCUCGUGUACUUGUGGUUGCUUCUCUUGGCUUUCAUCAGAAAGAACACCGAGAACACAGGUAAGUUCUUCAUCUCUGCAGGCUGCUGGAAACACCAACUGGCCAGAGGUGUCCAUGGUCUCAUCUCUACCCUCACUGUCAGCAGCAGAGAGGAGAGGAACCUUCGGAAUGGCAUCGUUAUCAUUACAUUCUUUCCUGCCACUCACUUCACUCAUCUUUGCCAGCUCUGUUUGACGUGGCGACGUCAGCAAAGCAGCACUGUGACUCUGUGCAUCCUUGCUUAUCCCACUGCUUAUAGAUAACUUUGAAUUGUUACGCACGCUCUCAGGGAUGCAUUCUUCCUCAGAGUCCUCCAUACUGCCGUUCUGAUUUGCGGUCCCACUGUGCUCCUCCCAAAUAUUUAAACCCUCACUAUCGCCUGAGGGCCUCAGGCCGCCUUCAGACAAGCAGCAGCUCCCAGCAGCCUCCUGCUUCUCCUCCCUCAGCUCUGGAACCAGCGCAGCCCGCUCCUCGGCCUGGAGGAACUCCUCAUCGCUCAGCACAAACACAGUGACCGGGAGAAGGAUUUCGAAGACCUCCGACUCUGAGGACAGAAAAGAACGCUGCGUUAACGUGACUCCCCAAACUCUCUUAGUAACCCACUCCCUUAAAAUGAGUGCGGAACACGUAGAACAGCACCCAGGCACAGCGCCCGCAGCCUCAGGGCCGCGCUCCCUCAGCCCGGGACGUGGCCGCCCCUCCCCCAGCAACGGCGCCCACAAAACGGCCGCCACAGCGCGAUUCGAGCUCCCCUGGAUCCUCAAUAGAGCACCUACCGUUAACCUCCCCCUCCAACAUCGCCUGCUCCACCGACACCGCCAUCCUCGGCCCAAGCGCGGCUGCUCCUGCAACGCCAGCAAGCGUGGCCCGCCUCUCCCCCCAACAGCACCACUGUGCCUGCGCACGGAACAGCUUCCGGGGUGAAAGGUCACGGUUGCCGCCUUCUGAUUGGACGGAGCAGGGGGCGUUGGGAUCUCGACGUUGUGCUGCGCCCUUCUGAGGCGCUGAGCCCAACUGCCCUGGGAUGCCUCCACCCCCCUCGAGGUGGCGGUUGGAGCUCCGCGUUCAGGCCUCGUGGCCAUCUUUUUGUUCUCGUCAAAUAAGCAUAGCCAUCCCGUGUGCCCGGAGGGGAAAAGGUACUGCAGCCAAACAGAUGGUUGCAUUUGAUGCCUUGAGGCCUAUUCUGCACUGACUCAACUGGUUAUGAUGUGCAGUUCUACUGGAAUGAAGCUGCUGACCAUCAGGAGGGUUUUGAAGACAAGUACCAAGGAAGGAGUUGUGUUCCUGAGCAGAACUUUGCACGAGGACUCCAUUAUAUGUUUUGGUUCGUUAUCUCCUGACAUAACAGUUCUGUUGGCCCAGGAUGUGGUUUAUCUUAUCACAUAGAGAUGAUACCCUGUCAAGAUAUGCUCCAGUUUCUGGGAACAAUUGUUCUAUUGUGCUUGGAGAAUGCCUGGGACAACAUGCUAUUGCCCACUGGCAGAGCCUUACAGAAAUGUAGUCUGAAGGCUGAGAAAGACACCUGAACAUGAGUUUUGUAAAUUUGCUAAAGAGCCCCAAAGCGACAGAGGGUCUUGAGAUGAAGCUUCGGGUGCCAUCCCUUGAACUCAGUCAGCUAAGCAGUAUCUUUCACAAGAAGAUAAGAGCUGGGGAAGUCUCCUUAGCAGUGGGAUGCAACAGCAGGCAACUGUGCUGAUGGCUGUCCUUAACAGGGUUGUUUGGAACGGUCCCCUUGGUGCCCCCACAGCUUGUUGUAGAAGUUUUGUCUUCACCAUUCCACCUAAUCAGAAUUUGUUAUCAUCAUUUGUCUCCGUUGUGUCUUUG
rnacentral:lncRNA from 1 species